GUGGCAAGCGUUGUCCGGAUUUAUUGGGCGUAAAGCGAGUGCAGGCGGUUCAAAAAGUCUGAUGUGAAAGCCUUCCGCCCAAACGGAGGAUUGCAUCAGAAACUGUUGAACUUGAGUGCAGAAGAGGAGAGUGGAACUCCAUGUGUAGCGGUGGAAUGCGUAGAUAUAUGGAAGAACACCAGUGGCGAAGGCGGCUCUCUGGUCUGCAACUGACGCUGAGGCUCGAAAGCAUGGGUAGCGAACA
rnacentral:rRNA from 1 species